rnacentral:rRNA from 1 species
GAUGAACGCUGGCGUCGUGCCUAAUACAUGCAAGUAGAACGCUGAAGCUUGGUGCUUGCACCGAGCGGAUGAGUUGCGAACGGGUGAGUAACGCGUAGGUAACCUGCCUCUUAGCGGGGGAUAACUAUUGGAAACGAUAGCUAAUACCGCAUAAAAGUCGAUAUCGCAUGAUAUUGAUUUGAAAGGUGCAAUUGCAUCACUAAGAGAUGGACCUGCGUUGUAUUAGCUAGUUGGUGAGGUAACGGCUCACCAAGGCGACGAUACAUAGCCGACCUGAGAGGGUGAUCGGCCACACUGGGACUGAGACACGGCCCAGACUCCUACGGGAGGCAGCAGUAGGGAAUCUUCGGCAAUGGGGGCAACCCUGACCGAGCAACGCCGCGUGAGUGAAGAAGGUUUUCGGAUCGUAAAGCUCUGUUGUAAGAGAAGAACGAGUGUGAGAGUGGAAAGUUCACACUGUGACGGUAACUUACCAGAAAGGGACGGCUAACUACGUGCCAGCAGCCGCGGUAAUACGUAGGUCCCGAGCGUUAUCCGGAUUUAUUGGGCGUAAAGCGAGCGCAGGCGGUUAGAUAAGUCUGAAGUUAAAGGCUGUGGCUUAACCAUAGUACGCUUUGGAAACUGUUUAACUUGAGUGCAGAAGGGGAGAGUGGAAUUCCAUGUGUAGCGGUGAAAUGCGUAGAUAUAUGGAGGAACACCGGUGGCGAAAGCGGCUCUCUGGUCUGUAACUGACGCUGAGGCUCGAAAGCGUGGGGAGCAAACAGG